rnacentral:rRNA from 1 species
UCGAGCGGACAGAUGGGAGCUUGCUCCCUGAUGUUAGCGGCGGACGGGUGAGUAACACGUGGGUAACCUGCCUGUAAGACUGGGAUAACUCCGGGAAACCGGGGCUAAUACCGGAUGGUUGUUUGAACCGCAUGGUUCAAACAUAAAAGGUGGCUUCGGCUACCACUUACAGAUGGACCCGCGGCGCAUUAGCUAGUUGGUGAGGUAAUGGCUCACCAAGGCAACGAUGCGUAGCCGACCUGAGAGGGUGAUCGGCCACACUGGGACUGAGACACGGCCCAGACUCCUACGGGAGGCAGCAGUAGGGAAUCUUCCGCAAUGGACGAAAGUCUGACGGAGCAACGCCGCGUGAGUGAUGAAGGUUUUCGGAUCGUAAAGCUCUGUUGUUAGGGAAGAACAAGUACCGUUCGAAUAGGGCGGUACCUUGACGGUACCUAACCAGAAAGCCACGGCUAACUACGUGCCAGCAGCCGCGGUAAUACGUAGGUGGCAAGCGUUGUCCGGAAUUAUUGGGCGUAAAGGGCUCGCAGGCGGUUUCUUAAGUCUGAUGUGAAAGCCCCCGGCUCAACCGGGGAGGGUCAUUGGAAACUGGGGAACUUGAGUGCAGAAGAGGAGAGUGGAAUUCCACGUGUAGCGGUGAAAUGCGUAGAGAUGUGGAGGAACACCAGUGGCGAAGGCGACUCUCUGGUCUGUAACUGACGCUGAGGAGCGAAAGCGUGGGGAGCGAACAGGAUUAGAUACCCUGGUAGUCCACGCCGUAAACGAUGAGUGCUAAGUGUU